GGGGUCGGGGGGACACGCUGAGGUGAAGCCACGGGGUCAGGGAGGACACGCUGAGGUGAAGCCACGGGGUCGGGGAGGACACGCUGAGGUGAAGCCACGGGGUCGGGGAGGACACGCUGAGGUGAGGACACGCUGAGGUGAAGCCAUAGGGUCGGGGAG